AUAAUGUUUUUGGGCCCCUCUUAGUACUGUUGUUGUGUCAUUAUCACUUCACGCUUGUAUGUUAAAUGUUGCAUUGUUUCUGCUGGACUUUGGAGUUCCUGGCAAAGUCAGAGAAGCUAUAGUCAGGCUCGAACUGCUGACUAUCAUGACAUCAUUUGUUCUGCCUGGCAGCAACUUUGACCACUAUGCCACUCGUACCCCGAUGGAUCUGUUCCUUAACAUUUUUUAUAUUUCCUACUAAUGCAGGUUUGACUGUUGGGGAGGAAGUGGAAGCAGUCAAUUCAUUUAUGUCUCGUGCUGCAUUGACAACAAAAUAUAUGACCAAAUCUGCACGCACAGAUAUGAUCACUAUCCAUGUUCGUGGAUGGAACCUAAGGAAAAAGUUAAAUCUUCACAAUUAUCUUGCUCAAAGAUAUGUUAAGACAUUACAGAGAACAGCUGAGGUGGCAGGGGAGAUUGAGAUGACCAAAUCCCACCUGAACAAAACAAGUGAAGAUCUUCAGCAGUGGGUCACAGAUGUUCAGUUGUGGGCAGCAUCAACUCCGAGUACCAUCAGUUCACAUGAUCCACAGGGGCUGCAGCGUCUAAUGGAAGGCUUAGUCCUUAAAAUCCACCAAAAGAAAAUGGAGUUGUACAGAGAGACAGACAGCAAUAAAGACAGGCGACGCAAGCGAUCUGCCAUUGCUAAAGAGAAGAGCAAACUAGAAGAGGCCAUAACAUCAUACAAUGCUCUGGUCUCAAAUGCAGAGGCUGUGGAUCCAGCAGACACCCUUUUAGCACAAGACUUUUCAAUAUGGCCUUGGGAAACAGAAUCCACUGUGCCCUUGAGACAAAAGAAGAUUGUGUUUGACAAGAUAAUGCUGUUGUCUCGUUUAAAAGAAGAAAAGACUAUUCUCAUUAAAGAGAUGAAACAACACUGGCAGUUCCUGGCUGGUGUCUCCAAGACAUUAGGUGAUGAUAUAAAGUUGGUCAGAGGUGACUUGAAAGAAGGGAUCUGUCCUACUAACAUGUCUGUGGAGGCAUACGAGGGACUGUGCUGCAUUAUGUUGGCAAGAUUGAGUGACCUACAACAUCAAAUGAGUGAGGUGAAGUCAAAAUAUAGGCAGAUUGUGGUGGAUCCAAGUGUUCUCUCAAUUGAUGAGGAAGAUGGAGAAGCAGUUUGUGAGGAAUUUCCUUACCUCCAUGAUGACACUGAUUCAUCCGAUGAAGACUGAGUGAGGAUAAAUAAUGUACUAGAUCACUAACCCAUAAAACUCUGCAACUUUCUCCUAAUGCUCAGUGGGACCAAAUGGAAGAACAGUUGGGAACCUUUGUCCUGCCUUUGAGAUGUUGGAGUUAGCACCAGAGAAGCAGGGUUAUUACAGAGAAGCAGGGUCAUACAGUGUAGUACAGUCAGUUGAGUUAU